rnacentral:rRNA from 1 species
UACGUAGGGGGCGAGCGUUGUCCGGAUUUAUUGGGCGUAAAGGGCGCGUAGGCGGUGCUUUAAGUUUGAAGUGACAGUGGGUGGCUUAACUACCCAAGGCCUUUGAAAACUGGAGCACUUGAGGACCAGAGAGGGACAUAGAAUUCCGGGUGGAGUGGUGAAAUGCGUAGAUAUCCGGAGGAAUACCAAAGGCGAAGGCAGUGUCCUGGAGGGUGACUGACGCUGAGGCGCGAAAGCGUGGGGAGCAAACAGG